GUGCCAGCAGCCGCGGUAAUACGGAGGGUGCGAGCGUUGUUCGGAAUUAUUGGGCGUAAAGCGCGUGUAGGCGGUUUGUUAAGUCUGAUGUGAAAGCCCUGGGCUCAACCCAGGAAGUGCAUUGGAUACUGGCAGACUUGAAUACGGGAGAGGGCAGUGGAAUUCCUGGUGUAGGAGUGAAAUCCGUAGAUAUCAGGAGGAACACCGGUGGCGAAGGCGGCUGCCUGGACCGAUAUUGACGCUGAGACGCGAAAGCGUGGGUAGCAAACAGGAUUAGAAACCCUCGUAGUCC
rnacentral:rRNA from 1 species